ACGGCUCCUCACCCAAACUCCCCUGCCUCCUUUCAAAACCCAAGGCCACGUCCAACCUCACAGGCCCAAACCACGCUUACAUAACCCGCAGUGACACUAAGUGUUUGUGAGGCCUGCUGAAGUGGGGCUGGGGCUGCCUGCUCUGGAGCACAGGGGACAUUUUGUCCUGCAAAAUGAUGCUGUUUGGGGCGUGUGCGUGAGCGCGUGUUUUUCCCCUCCUGAAGUUCAAAAACAACUCCUUUUGCUCAAACUGUCAAAAAAGAGAAGAAGAAGAAAAAAAAGAAGAAGAAAGUCUGCAAUAAUUUCAGUGUUGGGCCCAGAUCAAGAAUUGCAAACACUAAGAUAAUAUUUUCCAAAGUUACCAGGCGAGUAGGAGUCGCCGAGUUACGGGAAAUUGGAGGCUGACCUGGUGUAACUUCCAGGGGCCCCGUCUCCUGGCUGCUUCCUCAACGGUGGUGGGCUUUUUCCUGUGAUCAUUACAGCUCACCGUGAUCUUGUCCUUACUACAUGCCAGGUUCCAGCAGAGAGCUUUUCCUGACCACGCUGAGAGGGAGGUGUGACUACGGAAGAAUGGCUGGAGAGAGGCAACGCUGCUUGGCUUUGAAGAUGGAAGGAGAAAGCCAGGAGCUAAGGAAUGCAGUAACCUCCAGGAUCUGGAAGAGGCAAGAGGACAGGAGCUCCUCUAGAGUCUCUGGAAAGGAGCACAGCCCCAGCACCUCGAUUUUAGCCCAGUCUGACCCAUGGCUGCCUUCAGACCUCCGGAACUGUCAAUUCAUAAAUUGGUUUUGUUUUAAGCCUUA
rnacentral:lncRNA from 1 species